CAAGGGGGAAACAUCACAACGUAUCAUCAAUAUUUUUAGUUCCCCAUGAAUGAUUUACAUUCCCCUGCACUAUCAGAUAUUUUCAAAAGAACAUAUCAAAACUGGAGAGCAGUGCACUUGGUUCAUGUAACGUUAAAUUUGCUGCAAAAAGCCCUAUGAAUUCAAAGCUCUGAGAUCAAGUUCUGAUUUCUGAUGUUGGGCACACGCUUGCAGUCUGGCUUUGAAAAGUUUCAGUGGGUCUGGGGAAUUUUAAGGCUCUGUGAUGAUAUGACUACAGGCAAGUCCCCACUGAGCUCUGGUGCACAGCAUUAAAACAGAACCCACGUCUCUGGGAGUGACUGGCACAAAUAUCUGCUCUUUUCUGCUGCCUAAGCACAGGGGAGCUAAGCCUCUGCCAUCAGGGGGCUGGCACGCCAUCCCAACUCAAGACAUGGCUAGCACUCAACUCUCCCAAAGGAAGCUGGGACCACUGGUUUUCAGAUGCUGAAGUGCUGCAGGCAACCUCCAAUUAUUGAGCAUUUUAAUAAAAAAUAAAGCAGCAUCAUCAUCUUUUCUGUCCUACAAUGAGCUCCGAGAUCCUCUGCUUCAAUAGAUGGCCAGUAAAGGGCCACUGAUACAGCAGUACACAGUUCUGCAGCCCCCCUCACCACUGGGCUUAACCUUCACUGGACUAACCAGAAAAAGUGGCACCAGGACUAGGACUGGAGAUGUGGAUCAUCAUGCAAAGAUUCAAUUUUUUUUUUCUCAUUGUGGUGACUAUCAGUAAUGGGUAGUAACCAGCCCAUGUCUACAGCAUUUACGUGAUGUAAAUCCAUGAGCACAGGCAUUUGUCUUGAACACA
ensembl:lncRNA